GAUGAACGCUGGCGGCGUGCCUAAUACAUGCAAGUAGAACGCUGAAGGAAGGAGCUUGCUCUUUCCGGAUGAGUUGCGAACGGGUGAGUAACGCGUAGGUAACCUGCCUGGUAGCGGGGGAUAACUAUUGGAAACGAUAGCUAAUACCGCAUAACAGUAGAUGUUGCAUGAUAUCUACUUAAAAGUUUCAAUUGCACCACUACCAGAUGGACCUGCGUUGUAUUAGCUAGUUGGUGAGUUAACGGCUCACCAAGGCGACGAUACAUAGCCGACCUGAGAGGGUGAGCGGCCACACUGGGACUGAGACACGGCCCAGACUCAUACGGAAGGCAGCAGUAGGGAAUCUUCGGCAAUGGACGGAAGUCUGACCGAGCAACGCCGCGUGAGUGAAGAAGGUUUUCGGAUCGUAGAGCUCUGUUGUAAGAGAAGAACGAGUGUGAGAGUGGAAAGUUCACAGUGUGACGGUAUCUUACCAGAAAGGGACGGCUAACUACGUG
rnacentral:rRNA from 1 species